rnacentral:tRNA from 1 species
GGACCUGUAGCUCAGUUGGUAGAGCAACGCGCUUACACCGCGUUGGUCGUCGGUUCGAGUCCGGCCGGGUCCACCG